rnacentral:rRNA from 1 species
ACGAGGGGGGCGAGCGUUGUUCGGAAUUAUUGGGCGUAAAGGGCGCGUAGGCGGUUGGAUAAGUCUUGUGUGAAAUCUUCGGGCUCAACUCGAAGUCUGCACGAGAAACUGUCCGGCUUGAGUGUGGGAGAGGUGAGUGGAAUUCCUGGUGUAGCGGUGAAAUGCGUAGAUAUCAGGAGGAACACCUGUGGCGAAAGCGGCUCACUGGACCACAACUGACGCUGAGGCGCGAAAGCUAGGGGAGCAAACAGGAUUAGAUACCCUGGUAGUCCUAGCCCUAAACGAUGAUCGCUUGGUGUGACGGGUACCCAAUCCCGCCGUGCCGAAGCUAACGCGAUAAGCGAUCCGCCUGGGGAGUACGGUCGCAAGGCUG